rnacentral:rRNA from 1 species
GACGAACGCUGGCGGCGUGCUUAACACAUGCAAGUCGAACGGAGUGGCGAACGGGUGCGUCACACGUGGCUGACCUGCCCUGCACUUCGGGCAAAUCCUGGGGAACGCGGUCUAAUACCGGUUAGUGUGGGAUGGGCUCGCGGCCUAUCAGCUUGUUGGUGGGGUAAUGGCCUACCAAGGCGGCGACGGGUAGCCGGCCUGAGAGGGUGGACGGCCACAUUGGGACUGAGACACGGCCCAAACUCCUACGGGAGGCAGCAGUGGGGAAUAUUGCACAAUGGGCGAAACCCUGAUGCAGCGACGCCGCGUGGGGGAUGACGGCCUUCGGGUUGUAAACUCCUUUCAGCCUUGACGCGGUAGAUGGAGAAGAAGCACCGGCUAACUACGUGCCAGCAGCCGCGGUAAUAC